rnacentral:rRNA from 1 species
UACGUAGGGGGCAAGCGUUUGUCCGGAAUCAUUGGGCGUAAAGAGCGCGUAGGCGGCCCUGUAAGUCCGCUGUGAAAGUCAAGGGCUCAACCUUCGGAUGCCGGUGGAUACUGCAGGGCUAGAGUCCGGAAGAGGCGAGUGGAAUUCCUGGUGUAGCGGUGAAAUGCGCAGAUAUCAGGAGGAACACCGAUGGCGAAGGCAGCUCGCUGGGACGGUACUGACGCUGAGGCGCGAAAGCGUGGGGAGCAAACAGG